GGCCGCGGGAAUUCGAUUUCUGGUUGAUCCUGCCAGACCCGACUGCUAUCAGAGUGGGACUAAGCCAUGCGAGUCAACGUAGUAAUACGUGGCAUACGGCUCAGUAACACGUAGUCAACAUGCCCAGGGGACGUGGAUAACCUCGGGAAACUGAGGAUAAACCGCGAUAGGCCAUAAUUCCUGGAAUGGUUUAUGACUGAAACCUACAUGGCCCCUGGAUUGGACUGCGGCCAAUCAGGCUGUUGGUGAGGUAAUGGCCCACCAAACCUGUAACCGGUACGGGCUCUGAGAGGAGAAGCCCGGAGAUGGGCACUGAGACAAGGGCCCAGGCCCUAUGGGGUGCAGCAGGCGCGAAACCUCUGCAAUAGGCGAAAGCCUGACAGGGUUACUCUGAGUGGUUCCCGCUAAGGGGAUCUUUUGGCACCUCUAAAAAUGGUGCAGAAUAAGGGGUGGGCAAGCCUGGUGUCAGCCGCCGCGGUAAUACCAGCACCCCGAGUGGUCGGGACGAUUAUUGGGCCUAAAGCAUCCGUAGCCGGUCAUGCAAGUCUUCCGUUAAAUCCACCCGCUCAACGGUUGGGCUGCGGAGGAUACUACGUGGCUAGGAGGCGGGAGAGGCAAGCGGUACUCAGUGGGUAGGGGUAAAAUCCUUUGAUCCAUUGAAGACCACCAGUGGCGAAGGCGGCUUGCCAGAACGCGCUCGACGGUGAGGGAUGAAAGCUGGGGGAGCAAACCGGAUUAGAUACCCGGGUAGUCCCAGCUGUAAACGAUGCAGACUCGGUGAUGGGAUGGCCUCGAGCUAUCCCAGUGCCGCAGGGAAGCCGUUAAGUCUGCCGCCUGGGGAGUACGGUCGCAAGACUGAAACUUAAAGGAAUUGGCGGGGGAGCACCACAAGGGGUGAAGCCUGCGGUUCAAUUGGAUUCAACGCCGGAAAUCACUAGUGAAUUC
rnacentral:rRNA from 1 species